rnacentral:rRNA from 1 species
AUACGUAGGUGACAAGCGUUAUCCGGAUUUACUGGGCGUAAAGGGCGUGUAGGCGGUCUUGCAAGUCAGAAGUGAAAUUCCUGAGCUCAACUCGGGCGCUGCUUCUGAAACUGCAGGACUUGAGUGCUGGAGGGGAUAGCGGAAUUCCUAGUGGAGCGGUAAAAUGCGCAGAUAUUAGGAAGAACACCGGUGGCGAAGGCGGCUAACUGGAAAUUAAGUGACGCUGAGGCGCGAAAGCGUGGGGAGCAAAAGGGAUUAGAUCCCCUGGUAGUCCACUCCGUAAACGAUGAAUACUAGGUGUAGGGGGUAUCGACUCCCUCUGUGCCGCAGUUAACACAAUAAGUAUUCCGCCUGGGGAGUACGGCCGCAAGGUUGAAACUCAAAUGAAUUGACGGGG